AUUGAACGCUGGCGGCAGGCCUAACAUAUGCAAGGCGAGCGGAGCGGCGGACGGGAGAGUAAUGCCUAGGAAUCUGCCUGGUUGUGGGGGAUAACGUCCGGAAACGGGCGCUAAUACCGCAUACUAUCAGAAGAGCCUAGGUUGGACGAGCUAGUUGGUGGGGUGAAAGCCUACCAAGGCGACGAUACGUAACUGGUCUGAGAGGAUGAUCAUCCACAUUGCAACUGAGACACGGUCCAGAAUCCUACGGGAGGCAGCAGUGGGGAAUAUUGGAAAAUGGGCGAAAGCCUGAUCCAGCCAUGCAGCGUGUGUGAAGAAGGUCUUCGGAUUGUAAAGCACUAUAAGUUGGGAGGCGUUACCAACAGAAUAAGCACCGGCUAACUUCGUGCCAGCAGCCGCGGUAAUUC
rnacentral:rRNA from 1 species